CCUACGGGAGGCAGCAGUGGGGGAUAUUGCACAAUGGGGGGAACCCUGAUGCAGCGACGCCGCGUGGGUGAAGGAGUGCUUCGGCAUGUAAAGCCCUAUCGGCAGGGAAGAAGCAAGACGGUACCUGACUAAGAAGCCCCGGCUAACUACGUGCCAGCAGCCGCGGUAAUACGUAGGGGGCGAGCGUUAUCCGGAUUCACUGGGUGUAAAGGGAGCGUAGACGGCCAUGCAAGCCAGGGGUGAAAGCCCGGGGCCCAACCCCGGGACUGCCCUUGGAACUGUGCGGCUAGAGUGCGGGAGGGGCAGGCGGAAUGCCUGGUGUAGCGGUGAAAUGCGUAGAUAUCAGGAGGAACACCGGCGGCGAAGGCGGCCUGCUGGACUGCGACUGACGUUGAGGCUCGAAAGCGUGAGGAGCGAACAGGAUUAGAUACCCGGGUAGUC
rnacentral:rRNA from 1 species